UCCCUUCAUCUGUCCCCCUUCCACACUGCUACCUCCUCUACCCCUGUUUCCAUCCCUGCCCGGACCUUCUCCUGAUAUCUCCCGAUAAUCACUGGAGCUUUGAGCCACUUCCCCACUGUGGGCUCUUGAGGGGCUCAGAGACCCCACAAGCAACCAUCUGGGGUGAAACGGCCCGACUGAGAAGAGGAAUUGAAACUCACCCACUAACACUUUGUAUUUGUCACACCCAGAACUUCCUCUUUGAAGGCAAGAAGGUUUCAAAGGCCCCAGACUCUUCACCCCAAUUUUCUCUCUUAAAGAAAUGUGUUCAAAAGUAUAGUAGGUUGAAAACAAUCACAUUACAUUUACUACCAUUAGCCAUACACCAGCGUAUGGGACAGCAGGGGUAUGCAAAUUCUCAUUGCCAUACAACGCAUCUCUAGCACCUGUUCAUUUUGUGACUGAACAUCUGUACCCACAGCUCUGCGUUUCCUCUUCCCUGCCCCCACGGGAUCCCAUCGUUCUUUCUGUUUCUAUAAAUUUGACUACUUUAGAUACCACGUGUAAGGAGAAUCAUAGGGUAUUUGUCUUUCUGUGACUUGCUCAUUUCAUUUGGCAGAAGGGCCAGAAUAUCCUUCUUUUCUAAGAUGGAAGAACAUUCCGUUGUUAUGUAGAUGCCUCCGGUUCUUUCUCCAUUCCUGUGUGUGGGGACAUGUGGGUGCUUGACUCUGGAGAAGAACACUGCAUCGAACGGGGAUGUGCAAGUGUCCUUCGUCACGUUGCUUCCAAUUCUUGGAAGUGAUGUAACAUCGGGAGUGAGACGGCUCCAUCACGUGAGAGAGAGAGAGAGUGAGUGCAAGUGGGGCAGGAAGGGGCAGAGGGAAAGAGAGAGAAUCUGAAGGAAGCUUCACACCCAGUUUGGAGCCCAAAGUGGGGCUCGAUCUCACGACCCUGAGAUCACGGUCUGAGCUGAAAUCAAGCGUCGGAUGCUUAACCAACUGAGAUGCCCAGAAGCGACAAGUUGAGUGUCAUCGUCGGAAAACAGGCAGCUGAUGGUCCAUUGCCAACGUGACCCUUUCGUCCAGAUGAUUCUUCGAGACUCUCUGGGUAUGACCCAAGCCAUAUAUCUGAAAGCACAUCGUACAUGUGGACUCACAGAGUCAGUCUCUUCAAGCUCCAUGAGGAAAGGAAGAGAGGACAAAAUGUGGUUUGGAUCCCCUUCAUUCUACUCGGCCCGUAAAGUACAGACAUGGAGUCAUUUCCCUUGAACACAGAACACAGGGAAGAAGAAAGGAUGC